rnacentral:rRNA from 1 species
UACGGAGGGUGCAAGCGUUAAUCGGAAUUACUGGGCGUAAAGCGUGCGCAGGCGGUUUGUUCAGUCCGUUGUGAAAGCCCCGAGCUCAACUUGGGAAUUGCAGUGGAUACUGGCAGGCUGGAGUACGGUAGAGGAAGGUGGAAUUCCCGGUGUAGCAGUGAAAUGCGUAGAGAUCGGGAGGAACACCAGUGGCGAAGGCGGUUCUCUGGGCCUUACCUGACGCUGAGGAGCGAAAGCGUGGGGAGCGAACAGG